CAGUUUACGGUUGUUGCACCCCACAAGGUGGUUGGGUAGAAUUAAAAUGACAUGUCUGGGGUUCCUUGUCCUUUUGGCAGCGUUCUCGGGUGUCAGCUCCCAGAUCCAGCUGACUCAGUCCGGGGCAGAAAUCAAGAAGCCUGGAGAGUCUGCGAAGGUGACAUGUAAAACCUCCGGCUACACCUUUACCAGCUACGGCAUUAACUGGGUGCGGCAGGCUCCCGGGAAAGGACUGGAGUGGAUCGGAUAUAUCGCCCCCAGUAGUGGUGGCACUGGCUAUGCCCAGGCUUUCCAGGGGCGAUUCACCAUCACCAGGGACACCUCCAUAAGCACGGCCUAUCUGCAGCUGGCAGGGGCGGCUCUAGGCACCAGCUAAACAAGCAGGUGCCUAGGGUGGCGAAAUUUAGGGGGCGGCGAAAUGACGGGCGUGUAUGUGCCCGCUUACCGGAAGAGCGGCGGGAGCUCUUCCCCGGCUGCAGAGGACAGGCCGCUCCUCGGCUUGU